CUGCGCAAUUCAGGCGGCAUCCGCCAAAAGGCGCGCUGUUUGCAUCCCAAACACAAAUCAAAUCAUACAGAAUAGACCUAAAAUGUUUGUCAAAAAUGACCCUUGCGUGAGUGAAGUGACAAGUUUCAAAUAGAAAUGUGACAAACGAGCGAUAUUAAGUGUACAUUACAAUGUAAACGUACACUCAGCGGUUCCAGUUAGGCAUCCUCCAGAGAUUGUUCACAUGAUGUUUUGGUUUCCAAAAACAAACUUAAACACAAUUGAUUGUUUAUUUAAACAACUUACCACUUAUAAACUGAUCGGAGCAGACUUUGCUGUGUUUGGAAGGCUGAUAAUCCUUGCGGUUGAUUCUCGCAAGCCAUAGAUUUCUCCUUUGUAUGCUGAGUUUGUUUGCUCACCUUCAUGCUCCCGUACAGUGGGAAUUCCGUAAAAGCUCCGCUUGACUUCAUCAUUUGACCUAUUAUGACAGCUGUGAAUACAACAGGUGUGCACCAUUGCUAGCUUUAAAUAGCCUGCUUGGGUUCUUUUGAAGACUUUGUACUCACGCGUUCCAAUGUGUGCUCAGUCACCCGUACGGUAUGCUUGACCCGCAAGAUGGCCGCCACUAGGGAAUCCCCGACUCUGUGAUGUCAUGUGAAAACUAUCUAUAAACAUGUUAACAUGCUAGCAUUUAGCAUGUUAGUAUGCUGUUAGCAUGUUAAUAUGCUAACUGUUAGCAUGUUAGUUGUUAGCAUGUUGGCAUUAGCAUUUUGGCAUGCUAGCUUUUAGCAUGCGAGCAUUAUAGCUGUUCUGCUACAGCUCAGCAAGCACACAUUGCAUUUUCUCUGCGGCAAUGCAGUCUAGUUACAUUUGCAUGCCACUUUUGAAGUUUGAAAUACAUAAUUUUUUGAAUACUUUUUUUAAUCACCUGUGUAUUUAUAUUAAAACAAUUAUCUGCUUCAGGCUCAGUGGAUAUCAGUGAUUGUUAUACAUAUGGGCCACUUUUUCCAUGGAAUAAAAACCUGUAUUCUAGUCCCUUCUAGUGGGUUUACUGAUGGCAUGCAAUAUUGUUAUCAUAUCACUGAUUCUCCAUGUAUUACACCACUCUCCGCAAUGGAGAAUGAGCAUGCAAUAUUGUUAAAAUGUUGCACGUUGACAAGACAACAUGACAUCACACAUCAGAGCUGAUGUGAAGAUCCAAUGACAAAACAUUUCUGCUGUGCAUGCAUGCAAUCAUUUCUUUGCCGGCUGGGAAAGAGAGAAGAUUCAGUGCUAGGUUUAAGCACUAAAUAAAUAAACUGAAAACUGAAACUAAAGACAUGCUGAACACCCAAAAGGCUACCAAAACUUCAUUAUAUAUUUUUCAUGCAUGUUUACAAGAGAAAAACAUACCAACGGACAUUGAAAAUCUGAUAAAGAGACACAUUGGAGAUGUAAAACUUCCGCACUAGCGAGUGACUAUAACAGUUUGUAUUCAAACAUGGCCGUGAGAUUUGCUUCAUUCAAAGCAGAAGAUUUAAAGAGACAGAUGCGCUGAACACCUGAAAGGCUACCAAAACUUCACUGGAUAUUCUUCAUGCAUAUUUACAAGGGAAAAACAUACCAACGGACAUUGAAAAACUGGAAAAGAGAGCAAUAGUGGAAAUAUUGUCAAAGUUCUACUUGGAGGUGAGGAAAAGUGAUGGAGACUUUUACAAGAGGACUUCACUCGUGGACUUCACUCAACAAAGCCCUUUUGCUUUGAGCAACUGCAAUGUAACAAUUAACUACUACCAAAAGUAACUUUGAACUUGAACUGUCAACCUGAAUAUAGCUUGUAUAUAAGUUCGGUUGUUGUUCAGGCUUUUUGGACUUGUACUAUUUUUAUUGUUAGAACUUUGACUUUGUACAGUACAUUGGGUUGACAGAACAUUGAAUUGCAGUCGAUCAGAAUCAGUAUUCAAUAUCACAAAACACUUCUGAACAACCAGCUUGAUGCAGAGAUCAUCCAAGACACCUAAGAGCUCUAUUUAGGAGCAAGCACCUUGUUAUAUCUUACUCUCCUUGUAAAAGCUUAUCAUGUAUUUGUAACUAUAAGUCCGAGCUGGGUUUUCCUGCAUUCUAUGUUUUUUUUUUUUUCCAGUUUCAUGACUCUUGCCUGUUUCUCAAAUUUGUAAGCAUGGAUUGUCCGAGUUUAUUAUUGUCUACCUGUUCUCCAUCCCCUACUAUAAAUAGACUACAAUGAAAAAAUGCCAUGCUUAAUUUACACACUUGUGUCCUUCCUUUACUAACCACACAUUCCAUUCAAUUUCCUUGUAUUAUUGAUUCCAGGACAUUUAGUCAUUUAUAUAAUUUGUAUAUUGCUUAUGGAAGAUUUCAUAUAUGAUAAUGAGGUGGCUUACCUUAUUUACCUGAGCAGUAUCUGAUACAACAGGCUAAUCAUUGUGCACAAAGGAGCUCUGAAUGAUUAGAGUCUAGAGAACAACAAAGAGAACAACAAUUCAAUAAACAACAAAGUCUUGAUAA